rnacentral:lncRNA from 1 species
CAUAUCGAUGCCUUAGGAAACAGUGAAGAUUAGAUCUCCGAGGUCAGCCGGUGUGUAAUUGGAAUCUCGGGGCUAGGAGAACACAGUCAGAUUUACACAGGGCUUCUUGUCUCUAGGGAUUCUUUUAUUUUUUUUGCUAUCAUAUCAUCUCUGAUAGAGCAAAACUGCUUGUUUUAGCUCUUGAUAGAAAAGUAACUUCCCUUGUCCAUUUUUUUACAGGCGAUGUAUAAACAGGAAGAAAGUGGAAAGCCUGUCAUUAUGUGUAGCAGUACCCACUUUUGGUUAUAUGCCACAGAGAGGGAUGUGGAUUUGAGGGUAGAAGAUCUGGGUUUGAGUCCAGUUCUGCCUUGGGGGACAAACCAGAACCAGAAACAUUGUCCCUCUGAGGCCUGAGACAAGGAAGACAGAGCCCAUUGGUCUGUUAACCACUGGAGGAUAUUUGUAUAUGAAACUUCUCCAUGAAAGCAGGGAUCAUCUUUGCCCGUUUAUUUCUUUUCCACUGCUGAACCUUGGUAUUAGAACUGUGCUUUACCACACAAAAGAUAUUCAGGUAAAUGUUUGCUAAAUGAGUGAAAAAUUCUGGGUAUAUAAAUUUUUUUUUCCUGUAACAGAUUUUUUUGUCAUAAACAUCUUACACAAGUUGAUGUGUCCGUGUGUGCAUGUGUAUUUUAUUUAUAUCCUUAGAAUCAAUUCCAAGAUCAUUGUGUAAAAGGGCAUGGACCAUUUUAUAACUUGUUAAACAUUUCCAGGUUAAUCUCAGAAAAUACUGAACCAAUUUACAAUGCCAUCAACCUUGUAAAUUUGUUCAGGGUAUCAGUUUCCCAAUGCCAACUCUUAAAGGAAUUUAGAAUGAUUAACAAUUGGGCUAGUUACUUAUGUCUCUGAAGCUCAGUUUCUUUAAACUGUAAAAUGGAGAUAAUGAUAUAAGUUUGAAAAUUGAGUGAGUGAAUUUAAUACCAACGUGUGAAGUUGGUAUUAAAUGUAUGAUUCCCAUAUAAAAAAAUUGGAGUAUCAUAGUGCUCUCAUAUAGUAGUAAUGCAUCUCUGCUGGGGAUGUAAACUGCCAGGUGAGGUGGGAGCUAGCUCCUUCGGGUAACGGAUAGAAGACCUCAGCAUCACAUGAGUGGUAACUGCUGCAGCUGGUAGAGUUAGAUGUUUGGGAGAAGGAAAUAAUCUCAUAUUUUUGUACACUUGAUUCUCUAGCU